rnacentral:rRNA from 1 species
AUUGAACGCUGGCGGAAUGCUUUACACAUGCAAGUCGAGCGGCAGCGCGGGGCAACCUGGCGGCGAGCGGCGAACGGGUGCGUAACACAUCGGAACAUGUCCAGUUGUGGGGGAUAACCUGGCGAAAGCCAGGCUAAUACCACAUGAGCUCGGGAGAGGAAAGCGGGGGACUCGCAAGGGCCUCGCGCGAUUGGGUUGGCCGAUGUCCGAUUAGCUAGUUGGUGGGGUAAAGGCUCACCAAGGCGAUGAUCGGUAGCUGGGCUGGGAGGAUGAUCAGCCACACUGGGGCUGAGACACGGCCCAGACUCCUACGGGAGGCAGCAGUGGGGUAUUUUGGACAAUGGGGGCAACCCUGAUCCAGCCAUUCCGCGUGAGUGAAGAAGGCCUUCGGGUUGUAAAGCUCUUUUGUCCGGAGCGAAACGGUUGUGGUGAAUAGCCACGACUACUGACGGUACCGGAAGAAUAAGCACCGGCUAACUACGUGCCAGCCGCCGCAGUAAGAC